rnacentral:misc_RNA from 1 species
GGAACUUUUCUCAGGGUAUGUGAUCAUACUUGUGCUGAAUAGUAAAUGCAAUUACAUGAGUCUUGUUCUGCAGUGAUAAAAGAGAUCUGACAGUAGUUUCUUCAAUUUAUUGAAUGUUUUGCUUGUUUUUAUGUUUGGAACAUUUGGAUAUAGUUUAUGAUGGGAACUGUUGGAUGAUUUGAGUGUUAUUGUCAAGCUUGUGUGAUCUUUUAUUGCAAGUCAUGCAGUUAUUGGAGAACUAAUUAUGGGGACGUUGUAGAUAUUGUUAAUAUAUACUGUAUUCAUAUUGUUAGGAGUUAGGACUAUGUUUGGUGUGACAGAAAGUUUAUACUGUUUUAAUGCAUUUUAGGAGCCAAGAAGAAGAUUGUUUAUAAAUGGGUAAUUAUUUGUUGCCGAUAAGCAUGAUUUAUGACUUAGAAAUAAUUUUGCCACUGCUACAUUUACCUCUUUACUGAAUUCAAUAAUAUGGAAUGAGGUGGUGAUUUGAGUUUCUUGAGAUGAAAAGAGUAUGCAUCUUUGUGAAGCACAUAUACAUUUGGUCUAGCCCUGAAUUUAAUGAUCUUAUUAUUGUAAUUGGGCCUUGGAUGUGUAGAAGAAUAUUAGAACCUAAGCUGCGUGGUCACUUCUUGUGAUUGUUUGUUGCAUAGAAUGUAUGGGGUGGGCAUGCACUAAUGAUUUUUUACAAUAAUACUGGGCAAGGGAAGGAUAGAAGAUCUCAUAUGUUUUGGAAAAGCAUAUGGGAGCUAAGUUUAUCCCUUCCCAUUUGUUAAAUUAGUAGCGGAGGAAAUGGGUUUUGGAAAGAAAGAAUUAAAUGAAGGGUAUGGAGCCUUAUUUUGUCCAAUUUGGUACAUUACUCUGAAUUCUAAAGUAGUAAAUUUGUGGUACAAGUUAUGACACAACUUACACAAGGAAGUUGACAUCUUUGAGUAAACUGUCUGUAGAUACUACCUGAUGAAGAUGUAUGUUUUGUGAAUGAAGCUUGAUUACAUAUAUCUUUGAGUAAUCUGUCAACACUACCUGACAAAGAUGUAUGUUUUCAUAAGUACAUUGUUUUAUCAUUUUACCCAUGGAAAAUGUCUAGUCUGAAAUUGGAGAAUGAUGCUGACAUUUUUUUUUCCUUUUAAUUUUCUUCUACUGAGAAUAAUGCAUUUUAGACAAGAAAGUGUUAUUUGUCAGAGGUUUGGUCUUUUUUAUGAGUGGUUAAAUGCUAACUUUUACCUGCUGUUGCCAACUUAAUUGGAUUUUCAGGAUUUUGAAAUCAAUAUCUGCUGUGUUGAGCUUGAGCCUCAGUUGAUAGUUUUUGCUUUUAAUGUUUGAUUAAGUCAAAACUGGAAUGAGAUGCUUUGCAUGCGCAGGUAUAAUGCUGUAAUGCAGAGUUGGCAACUUGCAUUUAAUUGGGAGCAAGGGCUAGAGUUUGAAGUUCGAGAUGUUCGUGCUCGAGUGCUAACAGACAUGGCCUGGGUUACCAUGAAAACCUAUGUUCACAUGGACACUGGGCCAUUUACUGUAACUAAUGUCUUUGAGUUCCAUAAUGGUCGAUGGUACAUGGUGCACCAUCACAGUUCAGUGAUGCUCAUUGAUGGAGAUGUGGACCAACAGAUUGUUCAUGCAUAAAACAAGAGAAAGAAGAUACCAAUUAUAACAGUAUUGCUAGUUGCAAAAUAGUGGUAUUGAUCAGGAGGAAGCUUCUUGAAUUUUCUCCAUGAAUUCUUCAGUGGAAAUCCUUUUCAGUUUUUCCAGCCUCAGUUUUGGUUGUUUCUUGGGUAAAGAGGCGUCUUUCUCGCGCUCCUUUUUUCCCCCUUCUCUUUUUGUCAAUUCCUUCAGUAUCUUUUUUUGUAAUUUUUAGUUUGUAUUUUUUUUUUUUUGGGGUAAAAUCAUGCAAUUAAAGACAGGCAUUAGUGUCUGAGUAAAUGAUUAUGAGCAAUCAAGCAUUAUGUGAAA